CCUACGGGUGGCAGCAGUGAGGACUAUUGGUCAAUGGACGAGAGUCUGAACCAGCCAAGUAGCGUGAAGGAUGACUGCCCUAUGGGUUGUAAACUUCUUUUAUAUGGGAAUAAAAUGUUCCACGUGUGGGAUUUUGUAUGUACCAUAUGAAUAAGGAUCGGCUAACUCCGUGCCAGCAGCCGCGGUAAUACGGAGGAUCCGAGCGUUAUCCGGAUUUAUUGGGUUUAAAGGGAGCGUAGGUGGAUUGUUAAGUCAGUUGUGAAAGUUUGCGGCUCAACCGUAAAAUUGCAGUUGAAACUGGCAGUCUUGAGUACAGUAGAGGUGGGCGGAAUUCGUGGUGUAGCGGUGAAAUGCGUAGAUAUCACGAAGAACUCCGAUUGCGAAGGCAGUUCACUGGACUGCAACUGACACUGAGGCUCGAAAGUGUGGGUAUCAAACAGGAUUAGAUACCCUUGUAGUC
rnacentral:rRNA from 1 species